rnacentral:tRNA from 1 species
GGCCUAGUGGCCUAAUGGUUAAGGCGCCAGAUUUCGGUGUAUCGUCAUCCUCUGGAGAUUGGGAGUUCGAAUCUUCCCUGGGUCG